CUUUCAUACUAGAAUGUGUGUUCUGUAGGCAGCUGAGAGCACAGAUCUGGGUGCUGAUCAAGACUCUGAAGUGAGGCCUGAGAAAACGCAGAACUGAGUCUUAGAGACCCAGGUAAUCUGCUGUGUAUCUGCUGUUUAUUGACUGUCCUGAGUUAACCACUGCUGUGUAACAAGCAGACAAACUCUGCCUUCUGCUGAACAGUUGUUGAGACCCCCACAAAGGCAAAGAAACAAAGGUACUUGCAGGGAUUGGGAUGGUGAUGGGAUUGGUCUCCUGGGUCUGUUUCCAUCUCUGUGACUUGAAUUCUUUCUGAUUCCUCCAUGGGAGAGGCAGCACUUAUCACGUCUUGACCAGAUGACCAUCCUUUGUGUAAAGUAUUGUAUCCUUGCAAUUUAUCUCAGAUUUCCUGGGAUUCUGAUUCUUUAUUUCUUCAUUC